CGGACGGGUGAGUAACGCGUGGAUAACCUGCCGUAUACUGGGGGAUAACACUUAGAAAUAGGUGCUAAUACCGCAUAAGCGCACAGUCUCGCAUGAGACGGUGUGGAAAACUCCGGUGGUAUACGAUGGAUCCGCGUCUGAUUAGCUUGUUGGCGGGGUAACAGCCCACCAAGGCGACGAUCAGUAGCCGGCCUGAGAGGGUGAACGGCCACAUUGGGACUGAGACACGGCCCAAACUCCUACGGAAGGCAGCAG
rnacentral:rRNA from 1 species